rnacentral:rRNA from 1 species
GACGAACGCUGGCGGCGUGCUUAACACAUGCAAGUCGAACGGAAAGGCCCUGCUUUUGUGGGGUGCUCGAGUGGCGAACGGGUGAGUAACACGUGAGUAACCUGCCCUUGACUUUGGGAUAACUUCAGGAAACUGGGGCUAAUACCGGAUAGGAGCUCCUGCUGCAUGGUGGGGGUUGGAAAGUUUCGGCGGUUGGGGAUGGACUCGCGGCUUAUCAGCUUGUUGGUGGGGUAGUGGCUUACCAAGGCUUUGACGGGUAGCUGGCCUGAGAGGGUGACCGGCCACAUUGGGACUGAGAUACGGCCCAGACUCCUGCGGGAGGCAGCAGUGGGGAAUAUUGCACAAUGGGCGGAAGCCUGAUGCAGCAACGCCGCGUGCGGGAUGACGGCCUUCGGGUUGUAAACCGCUUUCGCCUGUGACGAAGCGUGAGUGACGGUAAUGGGUAAAGAAGCACCGGCUAACUACGUG